GCCCAGUGGACCCAGGCCAGUGUCCGUCAGCCAGGUGCUCAGUCCCUGGUGCGCUGAAGCUCAGGCCCUUCCUGGCACCCUGGUCUCCUGCACUGAGCUGUGUGAACCCUUCUGCCAAGGGUGGCCUCCUGGCAUUGACCAACAUAGAUAGUGAGCCCAGAGAAAGACUUGCGUUGGACACAAUGGCCCUGGGACAGUGUCUGUCAGCCGGGUUCCCAGCCCACGAUGCGCUGGAGCUCAGCCCUUUCCCGGGGCCCUGGUCUCCUGCACUGAGCUUGUGAGCUCCUCUGCCCAGGUGAGCCGCCUGGCAUUGACUGUAAUAGGGAAGGUGGUCACAUGUCCUCCACCUGUGCCCCUAGAUGGUGAGACCGGAGGAAGACUUCCGUGGGCCCGCUUUUCCUGGGCCAGUGCCGUCAGCCAAGUCCCAGUUCGUGGUGCGCCGAAGUCCUGGCCUUUUCUAGCACCCUAGUCUCCUGCACUGAGCUGUGUGAGCUCCUCCACCGAGAUGGUGAUCCCGGAGGAAAACUUGUGCUGGGUCUGCUGUGUCUGGGCCAGCGUCAGCCGUGCAGUGAGCUCUUCUGCCCAAGUGGUCCCCCUGACCUUGACCAGCAUAGAUGGUGAGACUGAAGGAAGACCUGCAUUGGGCCUGCUGUUCCUGGGCCAGCGGCCAUCAGCCAGUUGCCCAGUCCCUGGUACGCUGAAGCUCAGGCCCUUCCUGGCACCCUGGUCUACUACCCUGAGCUGU